CAACUUUCAACAAUGGAUCUCUUGGCUCUGGCAUCGAUGAAAAACGCAGCGAAAUGCGAUAGGUAAUGCGAAUUGCAGAAUCCAGCGAGUCAUCGAAUCUUUGAACGCACAUUGCGCCCGCCAGUAUUCUGGCGAGCAUGCCUGUCCGAGCGUCAUAU
rnacentral:rRNA from 1 species